UACGUAGGAGGCGAGCGUUGUCCGGAAUCACUGGGCGUAAAGGGCGCGUAGGCGGCUUGAUAAGGUUGCGGUGAAAGCCCGGGGCUCAACCCCGGGUCGGCCGUGGCAACUGUCGAGCUGGAGCACUGUAGAGGCAGGUGGAAUUCCGGGUGUAGCGGUGGAAUGCGUAGAGAUCCGGAAGAACACCGGUGGCGAAGGCGGCCUGCUGGGCAGUGGCUGACGCUGAGGCGCGACAGCGUGGGGAGCAAACAGG
rnacentral:rRNA from 1 species